rnacentral:lncRNA from 15 species
AUGGUAGCGGAGUACAACAGUCUCGUUCCAUACGAGCAAGCGGUGUGCAUGGAUAGCAUUCUGGACACAGAACAUCCCUGGCAUUGGCAAAUUACACAGAGUGGCUCUGCUGAUUUCAGCACAAAGAAAGAAGUCUUCGAUAGGGUCAUGGGUGUUCGAAGGCUUCAAGAAGAGAAGAAGAUCCUUGUGAAAGAAAUGAAGCAGCACUGGGAGUCUCUCAAAGCCCUUGCCAGGGUCUUGUCCGAGUUGUCUCAGCAUCAGAGUGAAGACGCCAUGCAAAGUAAAUGCGGCCUUGUACUUUAUUUUUUUAAUUUCAAAUGUUUCACAAAGUUAUGUUUAAGUUGUGAAAGACUUGUUAUUUACCUGGAGAGUGACAUAUUUUAUCCCUUCUUAAGGACAUCUCACAGAGAAAGCAACAAAGGGUCACACCUGCCUCAUCCUCAGAAGGCAGUGGGAAAUGAGAGAGCUGCAGCAGCAUACAAGAAAACACUACCUGCAUGUGCUGUCAUCAGCAGAUGACAUAAUGGACACAAUGGACAGUUCAGAUGAGUUCGACAUUAGCUGUGAAGAUUCAGAGUCGGAUGCAAUGUAAAACAGGAAGAUGUGGUGCUCGUGAUCACAGUGCACCGUGUGCGACACAUGGUCACACAGAGCAUGUGGCUUUAAAAAGUAACUAACGUAUGUGCUCAUUGUCAGGAUUAAGUUGGAGAUGACAGUUGUAGUUUUUGUAUUAGGUUGUUGUUAUUUCUGCAUUUGGUUUUGAAAUGUUUCAUCACUUAUAUAAGGUUUGAUUUUUCUACUGGGUUGUGGGAAGUUCCUGGUUAAUGUUGUCUUACAUCUUUACAACACAAACCACUGUCCUUUACUGUCUUAUCUUUGAUUCAUGUUCAGUUCUGCAUCUUUUCAGGGAUUUUCUUUCCAGUUGAUCUUUACUGUUUGAUUAAUAAUUGUUCUUUAAUGUUUAAUUAAACAAAGGCACAAUAAAGCUACAUUUCUGAUUGAGUCCUUGGAUGUUACUACUGUUUUAGGUUAGACUUAUUUUAUCUGAGCAAUUCCCACAUGCUUUCAGAGUACAUGAAUUCAGUAUAUGGCAAGAGGAGAGAUUCAGAGGAAGGACUAGUGAUAUGGGAUUUUCAGCAUCAAGUUUUCAAUAACAUGAACAGUUUUAAUGCAAUUAUAUAGUAACAUCCAACUUUACACAGGUUGAAUGAUUUAGCAAACCACAUUUCAUCGUGAUAUACUGUAUAUCAGAUGAACUAGCCAACGUCAAAACGUAUGUAACAUGUAAAGAAAAGACUCAAAGUAAAAGUAUCUCAAAUUUGUACUUAAUUACAGUACUUGAGUAAAAGCACUUUAUUACAUUCCACCACUGGUGACACAUUGACACAAAGACAUAUGCAAAGCACCCGGUAGAUUCAAAUGACUAUAAUUAGGAUUAUGACCAAAUAAUAUAUAUAUAUAUAUAUUACCGCCCCCCACACAGACACACGGGCAUGGGCCUGCAAUCUACAAGUGCAUGACCAUAAAGUAGAUUUUUUGGAGGAUGUGGUGGCAUAUUAGAGGUUUUGAGAGUGCUGCCUGUUGAAGAAUGCUCUUUAUUAUUAUUUAUGUGGUGCAUCACUUGACUGUAUUCUCCUUUAAAUAUGUGUUAGUGUUAGGCAACAUGGGCCAAGUGAGUGCCCUGCUGUGGGGGUAUGGGAUGUUGGCAUGCCCGUGGCGAGAGGACCAUUGUCUCAUAAUCUGCCUAUAGGUAAAAUAAGGUCUACACUAGCCCAGAUCCCAAAUGAUGAAUGUGAUUAGGAAAAACAUCAAUACCUUGAAGGUUUUUACCAAACAUAUAAGCAAAAAAUCCAAAACCUUG